rnacentral:rRNA from 1 species
CACGGGGGGAGCGAGCGUUGUUCGGAAUCAUUGGGCGUAAAGAGCUCGUAGGCGGCUCCGUAAGUCAGUGGUGAAAGGCCAUGGCUCAACCAUGGACACGCCUCUGAAACUGCGGACCUUGAGGUCGGGAGAGGAAAGUGGAAUUCCUGGAGUAGCGGUGAAAUGCGUAGAUAUCAGGAGGAACACCAGUGGCGAAGGCGGCUUUCUGGCCCGAUUCUGACGCUGAGGAGCGAAAGCCAGGGGAGCGAACGGGAUUAGAUACCCCCGUAGUCC